AUGCAGAUGAUGAAAACUCAGACAAAUUUCUAUUGAUUCAUCUUCAAGAGAAAGGUGAAGUUACAACCAGCUACUUCUGACACAU